UCCAUUCUUUUUCAGGUACUUUUCCCAGGUAGGUUAUUACAGAAUAAUGAGUAUGAUUCCCUGUGCUAUACAGUAGGUCCUUGUUUGUUAUCUAUUUUAUAUAUAGUAGUGUGUAUAUGUUAAUGCCAAAUGCCUCGUUUAUCCCUACCCCCUCCAUGUUUCCCCUUUGGUAAGCAUAAGUUUGAUUUUGAAACCUGUAAGUCUCUUUCCAUUUUAUAAAUAAGUAGAGAUGAAUACUUUAAAGCGGUCUGUCCAGGCACUUACAUGAACCUCAUGUUGCUCUCUAGAAAUCUGAACAUUCCCAAAUAAUUUCUUAAAAUUCAAUUUAUCCCAACGGGGGGUGGGGUGGGGGGGUGGAAAUAGCCAGGAAAACAGAGUCAGGCAAGUCCCUAAAUCAGAAAGGUUCGCUGUAAUAAGUACCAGAAGCUCCCUGUGACAGAUGUGGGUGUGUAGGGAGCUGGCCGGGUGGUAGGGUAGGGCCAUGGAGGAGAAAUUUUUCCCAAAUGUCUGAAUCCCCUUCACAACCUGCCUGCCCCGGCCAAAAGGAGCAUUGUCAGACCUUACUUGGCUACUCGAAAAUCCCCUGUAAAAGGUGAGGGAAGAGUCCCUUUUCCUUUUGGCAGAGAAGCAGGGGUUGGUCAUCCCUUCCUUCACACUGUGAGUCUCCAGUGUGUACUGGGUCUCAGAGGAGGCGGCUGGGCUGGGGGAGGUGACCGCCCAAGAGGGUAGCACCUUCGGCCAAUAGUGGUAAGUGCCCAUCACCCCACACGGCCAGCAGGCAGACCUAUUAUUCAAGACAGUCUGCCUUACCCGGAUGCAAACUGCUCUCCCGCGAAGGCGCCUUAAUCACGCUGGCUUCCUGUCAGAUUUGACCCACAUGAGUCAUUGGACUGUAAGGGAGAGCCUAUAUAUCACUUUCUGUUUAGAAAUGUUUGAUGACAUCCCGUUGUCUUCAGGAUGAGGUCCAAAAUGGAGUGGAAAUGAGAAAUUUCAAAAUUCUAGCCGCAAGAAAUCUCUCACUCAGUCGUCAUAGAUUUUCUCAUUCUCUCCUUCGUGAUUGAUUUGUUUAAAAUAUCCAUUUUCUAGACAAUGAUGAUGGUGAAAAUGGGGGUCGUGGGGAAUCAGUUGAAUAAAGCAACAAAGCCCUGGUGGAAAUCUGACAAUAAAAAUGGCUUUUACUAGCAAGUUCUGCCUUUCUUUGGUUGCAAAGAAAAAAAAAUUUUUUUUAAGGAAAUCAAGUCUGUGUCAGUCAUCUGCUGUCUCUCAGCCUGUGGGAUUGGUUCCGAAAUGGACAGGUGUCCCCACUCGGACCGAUGAGCUCAGAGGACAUAUUUUGUUGAGGCUUCUGGGAAUGGAAAAUUUUUGCUUGCAGUGGAGAGCCAGAGAGCCCCUCCCUUGUUCCCUGGGGGCUGUCGUGUGCGGACUGGGGCAGUCCUCUUUCUUCUAGCUGGAGGACAACACCAGGCCACAGAGAAGGACAAAGUCCAGUGAGUCACAUAGAAAUGACCCAGGACCAGGCCAGGUCUUAGGAUGUGACUCCUGCCCCCGUUUAAUGGCGAGGGCCCCAUGGGUGGGAGCCGGGUGUGUGUCACGUGGUCUGGCGCCGUUGGCCUGGCAUAGCACCUGGCAUGGAGAAAGGGCUCUGCUCAGGAAGUAGAGAAUGACCAAAUAGAUGGCACUGGAACCUAGGAUUUUCUGAGCACUGUCAGCGGAAUGGCAAGCUUAAGCUCAUGCAGCCUACAUUACUAUUCAUCGGGGCUGCGGUAGAUCUGAUUAGUCAACACGUCCUGCUACACUCAUCAUCCAUGACGCUGUCUAACUACAAAGAAUGAGGGCUUUCUGCCCAGUCCGACACCCACCUGGCGCCAGUUAUGAGGCCAGUGAUAACCAGCUCAUCCUUCAACAUUUCCAGCUCUGAGGUUUGUGACCAUGAUAUUACCUGUGGAUGAAGCUUCUAUUCGAGAGUUGGCGGCUAGAAUGUGGGAGGAGCAUAACGGGAAAGGAUGGAGGACUUUCACUUCUGGCCAACAUGGAGUCACAGGAACUUGGAUUUACCCUCCGAUGGAGACAACCAAAAUCACUGACAAAAUAUAGGAAGCAAGAGCUUUGAAGGCAGUGUGCAUUAAGCCAUGAAGAAUAGAUGAAAAAGAAGGUCAUCAGUUGGCCGGCAAUCUCAACCAUCUGGAACAGAACUGAAGUCCUAAAAUGAAAGAGCUUUCAAACACAAGAAAAUGAGUCAUCGCCAAGCCCAGGCAAUGAUAAUACCUGUAUGUUUGGGACCUAAACUUGAUCUUGGAUGUAACAUGCCAUCAAUGGCCUAAGGAAGAAGACAUUUCCUGAAGUGGCUUCCUCCUUUUUAUUCGUGAAGGAAAAACUAUGUUGGUGGCCCCUCAAGACUCCUGACAUCCACACACAGACUUCCCUUUGCAGUGGACAUUUAUGAGCCAUACGACCCUCCCUGGCGGGCUAUUAACUAUGCUGCUCAGGGAGCCACUCAAUUCGGCUCUCAACGCCUGAAGCAGACAGUGUUCCUGCCAAAGCCGGAUUCUUUCAGAAGAUGGAAGCCACAAAAAUAUCAUGUAGCAUGAAUAAUGGCAACCAGAUUUCAUCCUGUGCUUUGCUGUAAAAACCAGGCAGCAGGCGUUUGCCUACAUGAAGAGCAGCAGCGGGUCUACCUCCAGGUAUGCUGGACUAACGCCUCUGGGCCUGAUCCCACUCUGCCCUUUCCUAAAGCUACAGUCUUAACAAGUUUCACAUCCUUUUUGCAUCAUGAAUUAGAAUUUGCCCAGACUAGGAAGCUAUGGCCAUGGAUUCAGUCAUGCUUUUUUUUUUUUUUUUUUUCUUUUCACAGCUGCACCUGUGGCAUAUGGAGGUUCCCAG